ensembl:lincRNA 9330185C12Rik RIKEN cDNA 9330185C12 gene
ACAGCUGGACUCCAAGAAUGAUUUGGCAGGAAUAGGCUUUCCCCCUCUCCUUUAUAAAGCAUGUCCUCAGUUAAAAUUUUGAACCUUGAGCAGACUAGUUGUCUUGGUUCCAUUAUUUCUCUACCUGCCUAGAUUCCCUCUUCUCUUCCAGUUCCAAGAUGCCUUCCAGGCUCAAACCCGGACAUGAGAGCCGGCCCCAACAAUUUGGCGAACCAACACUGGGCCUGGGAAAGGCAGAAGGCAUUUGGAAGAAGCACUGCUGUCUUGGAGCUCCAUGGAAGAAGAAAAGAAUUAAAGAAAAUUCGUACCAGAGAAGGUGCUUCUCACGCAUUCGGUUUUCCUCAGAUGGAGGACAGUUGCCACAGUACACAUUUGGGAAUCAAAGGACAUCUUCCUGCAGCCUCUUUUCCUCUUUACUUAUGUAUAUCUAAAGAAUCAAACUUGUUUGUAUAGCUUAACAAUGGCAGGUACCUCUACCAAUUUAACUACUGCACCAGCCCACAAAAUUUUAAAUCCUGAAGAAAUGUUCAAAUACUUUUGAAUGUAAAUACAAAAAAUAUGAAUAUAUAAUCUAAGCCUAGUACUCCUUCCUUUAUUUAUUUACCUGUUCAAAUGCGAGUUGGAGAGGAUCUUUGAGUUUGCAGAAUCCUAUGGUUUGCAGAAAAUAUAUAAAGGGACUCACAAGAUGCCUGUGGAACCACAUGAUGAAAAGAGGGAAUUGAUGCAAACAAGCUGUCUUUUGCCAAUCACAUGCACAUACACACACACACACACACACACACACACACGCACACACACCACAUGCAUUCCUUGGAGGGCACACAAACAAUGUAAUUUUAAAAAAUUAAAAAGGAAAUAUGUAAGUUCCCUGUGUACAGACAAUCUAUUUUGUUAAAGAUAAUAAUGAAAGAGGGAAGAGAAGAAAAUGUGAAAGUCAACUGAUCAAUCAAAAGUGAUCAAAAUAGAAGCCAUAAGAAUACUAGCUAUAAAAUCCCUAAGGCAUGAACAAGC